rnacentral:rRNA from 1 species
CAACUCGCCUGCACGAAGUCGGAAUUGCUAGUAAUCGUAGGUCAGCAUACUACGGUGAAUACGUUCCCGGGCCUUGUACACACCGCCCGUCAAACCAUGAGAGUUGGCAACACCCGAAGUCGGUAGUCUAACCGCAAGGAGGACGCCGCCGAAGGUGGGGGUUGAUGAUUAGGGUUAAGUCGUAACAAGGUAGC